rfam:TPA: Bos taurus chromosome 3, whole genome shotgun sequence.
UCCCUGGUGGUCCAGUGGCUAGGAUGCCUUGCUGCCAACACAGGGGGCCUGAGUUCAAUCCCUGGCCAGGGAA